GGCAAUCUUUGGCAUUACUUGGCUUGUAGAAGCAUCACCCCUGAUCUAUGGUGUCACAUGGUGCUCCCCCUAUGUGCAGGUAUCUUUGUCCAAAUAUCUUCUUUUUAUAAGGACACCAAUCAUACUGGAUUAAGGCCCAUCAUAAUAACUUUGUCUUAACUAACUACAUCUGCAAUGUCCCUAUAGCCAAACCAGGUUACAUCCUGAGGUGUUGUUGGUUGGGAUCUCAACAUAUGAACUUUAGGGGACUGCAAUUAAAUCCAUAACAGUCUACUUCAUUAUUUUACCCAAUUUAUAUCCAAUAAUUCACCAAAUCCACCAAAUACUUUGAAUUCACUUACUUCUCUUCAUCUCCAAUGGCCCCACCUUAAUCCAGAGCACUUUUGUCUAAAUUAUAACAGCACCCUAACUCAUCUCUCUUCCUCUUUUAACUCUAGGCCAUUAUAAAAUUAAAGUAGUACUAUUACAUUAUCCUAUUUUUUAAAAAAAUUACUUCAAAUUGUCUUCAUGAUAGAUUUCAAAGUGUUUACUGUAAUUUUGAUGACUCUCCCACUUCCAAACUCUUUAGAUAAAUUCCAGCACCCAAAAUCUAUGUUCCAAAUAUGUGGAACUUAUUUGUAUUGAUCACAUAUACUAUGUUACAUUGUCUCUCUGUCAUGAAGUGUGUUAUUUCUUUUCCUAUAAAUGUUUAUUUUUCUGUCACUUUUUACCUAUGUAAUGAUGACUUAUUUUUCAGCUCUAAAUUUAGAUAUCACUUUCAGAAAGUUUUCUCAAGCUCCUUAUGUUUUGAUUAGAUGCAACUUUUAGGAGUUUCCCUAGAACCAUGAAUUUUCUCUGCCUUAGCAUGCAUCAGAUUUUAUAGAAAUUUAACAAUCUUUUUCUCUCUUUUAAAAAUCAGACUGUAAGUGCAAUGAGAGUAAGGGUCUUAUAUUAUUUUUCCUCAUUAUGUGAAGUUUAUCAAGUAUUUUCUCUGUGACUACACACAAAACAAUCUUAUUUUUCCUUAGCUGACCUUCAAACAUAUUCUCUUGGGAGUUCCUUUCCUCACCUUUGUGGCUGUUUUGGGGGCAGAUGGUGAUGAUCCGCUCCAGUCAUGAUCAGCAAAGACACGAAAGCAAUCUAAAUGC
rnacentral:lncRNA from 1 species